CUUUGUCUACCAUUCAGGCUACAUGCUGAAGUGUGACGCACAACUCCUGCCCUCUUUCAGUCAUGAAAUUCGUAACACCCAAAGGCAACUUCCACCUUUCAGUGUGUCAAGACACUUCCCCCUUCUUGAGUCUUUCGUCAGGAUCCACCUCUGCAAUAAAGUAUUUCAAUAAGUA